GUGGGGAAUUUUGGACAAUGGGCGCAAGCCUGAUCCAGCAAUGCCGCGUGUGUGAAGAAGGCCUUCGGGUUGUAAAGCACUUUUGGCAGGAAAGAAAUAGUGCGUGCUAAUACCCUGGGCUAAUGACGGUACCGUAAGAAUAAGCACCGGCUAACUACGUGCCAGCAGCCGCGGUAAUACGUAGGGUGCAAGCGUUAAUCGGAAUUACUGGGCGUAAAGCGUGCGCAGGCGGUUUUGUAAGACAGGCGUGAAAUCCCCGGGCUCAACCUGGGAAUUGCGCUUGUGACUGCAAGGCUGGAGUGCGGCAGAGGGGGAUGGAAUUCCGCGUGUAGCAGUGAAAUGCGUAGAUAUGCGGAGGAACACCGAUGGCGAAGGCAAUCCCCUGGGCCUGCACUGACGCUCAUGCACGAAAGCGUGGGGAGCAAACAGGAUUAGAUACCCGGGUAGUCC
rnacentral:rRNA from 1 species